AGAAGGAGAAAUGCAUCACAUAUUCCCACUCUUUUAGGAUUUAUGCUCUCGAUGUAAGUUUCAACAUUUGGAGUUGUUCUUGACAUGGUGGUCACAGGAAGCUAGAAUUUGACUCCCUUCUCUCUCUUUCUUUCUUCCUAAGUUUCAACAGUUGGAGCUGUUCUUGGCAUGGUCACAGAUAGGAGAAUCAAAUGGUCUUCAGGUUUCUUCUGUUUUUCUUGGAUUGAAAUUAUGCAAAACUUUGGUGACUCAUGAAAGGCAGAGAGUGUGUUGCUUGUUUUUUCCCAUCGCUUGUGGAUUGAAGAGGAAGAGAUGGUACAAGACUAGUCUUGGAGUUGGAAGUAUUAUAGGGGAGGAGGAUUCGAAGAUAUUAAGUUAUUUUCACCGAUGAUAGUUUCUUGUUUAUUUAUGUGUUACAUAUCUUGAUAGGGUGUCAAUGCAUGAUUCAAAUUACGUGUAGAUUUGAUAUUCCAAGAGGAGGGUGACUAAGCCAUGGCUGCCUGUCUCGCUCCUGCUAGGCUAUUGCCAACUCUUGUUUUCUUUAAAACGAGGGACUGCAAAUCUGUAACCUUGUAGUGGUCUUCUUUUGGAAUUACUCCUCAACAGCUUCUCAAAGGAUCACAACAAGCAGCAAUAUGGAUGGGGCGGUGGUGCAAAAACCAACAGCUUGUCAUAAGGUGAAUGGAGCACAACAAUUGUUCUCAUCAACAAUAUGGAGUGGCCUCAAGGAUUGUCAAAUACGCUCAAGACUAGCUUGUCAUAAUGUCACAACUCACAACAAUGGCUCCCUGCAGCAAUAUGGAGGGGAUAAUGCUAUGAUGAUCGAUUGGUGAUUAAGGAGGAUGCUUCUAAUAUAUGUCGGUGAUGGAGGUGGUGCAAAAACCAACAGCUUGUAUCAUACCGUUGUCAAAGGAUCACAACAGUGGCUCCCUGCAGAGCAAUAUGGAGGGGGUUAAGAUUGCAGUUAUAUGAGACGUGCUUAUUAUAUAUGUCUGCUUAUUUCUUUAUCUCUUGUCUCUAGUUAACUUUGGUAUGCAAUUUUUUUUUUGCUGCAUCAGCCUCAAGGAUUGUCUAAUACGGCUUGUCAUAAUGUCACAACAAUGGAUUCCCUGCGGCAAUAUAGAGCGCCUCAAGGAUUGUCAUAUUUUCUCAGGACUACGAGUGAAAGGCAUCAGUUGAAAUGAUGAUGAUGAUGACUUGCUAAAGCGCAAAACCAAUCAUGGUUUCUGAGAUGCUUGCCAUGAUCUCACUUUGAUGGUUGCUGCAGUAACGUCUUUAGCACUUGGGAUCAACACAGAGGUUUCUGAUUGUCGUCACAGCUACUGUCAGUGUCUACAUACAGUCUCUCAACAAACUUGAAUGAUGAAAAGAGAAAGAUACAUCUCGAGGUGACAAGAGGUGGAAGACGAGUGGAUAAAUCAAUCUAUGACUUCGUGGUGGGUGAUGUCUUGGCAAUCAGGUUCCUGCGGGUGGAGUGCUAAUAUCUGGCCACUCUCUUUCCCUUGAUGAGUCUAGCAUGACUGGAGAGCAAAAUCGUCUCAAUCUGAUUUUGGCAACAGUGGCGUUUCGGUAACAGCCACUUUUCUUGUUUUUGGACGAUACUCUUUUGCAUGGUUUCUCUGGUGAUUGAAAUUAUGCAAAACUUUGGUGACUCAUGAAAGGCAGAGAGUGUGUUGCUUGUUUUUUCCCAUCGCUUGUGGAUUGAAGAGGAAGAGAUGGUACAAGACUAGUCUUGGAGUUGGAAGUAUUAUAGGGGAGGAGGAUUUAAAGAUAUUAAGUUAUUUUCACCGAUGAUAGUUUCUUGUUUAUUUAUGUGUUACAUAUCUUGAUAGGGUGUCAAUGCAUGAUUCAAAUUACGUGUAGAUUUGAUAUUCUAAGAUAUGGAUUUUCAUGUUCCUUAUGUUCUUCAGCUAGAUAAUUAGAUGAUGUCUAAGGUCUGUGUGGUUAGUUAGCUAAAGUUACUGCAGAAUAAUUUAUUUAUCUCUUAUAUGUGGGUUCACUACUUUGUGUUAGGAUACUCUGGCAUUUCCUUUAGGUUUUUUAGUUGAUGGUUUUGUAAUAGUUGGUUUACAAAGUCUAAUUGGGUUUCUUUGGCUAAGAAAUUGCUUUUUGACUAAUCAUCACCUUUUUUUUUUUGGGUUAUUUAUUUUCUACUGUUUGAUUCAUGGUUCAAGGUUGGCUCCAGAUAUUAAAAUGUUACUGAACACUCUUUUUCUGAAACUUAAUCGGUCUUAUUGGAUGCGUUUCAUUCUCUCUCUUGAAUGAAUUACGGUCCCUAGGAAAUUUACAAGCAAAGUUGAGGGGAAGAGGAGUUAUAUAUGAACAUAAGACAUAUGUCAGUCUGAUCUAGCAUUGAGAACCAAGGACCAAGGAAAAGGGCUGCUGCUUUAGCUAUCUUAACUUAUGCCUGUAAUUUUUCUUACGGGAUCAAGUUCUUAGCAAGUUGGUGUUGCUGCAUCAACAUUACUCAAACUUGGGGUUUCAACAUGAUCAGUCUAGAAGUGGGAACCAAGGAUCAAGGCAGAGAGCUGUUGAGAUAACAAGCUCUCCGGACUCCGAGCUGAAGCGCCAUCAACACUUCUUCGUGUUGUGUCUUUUUGCGGGUUUUAUAAAUCACUC